AGAUUGAACGCUGGCGGCAUGCUUUACACAUGCAAGUCGAACGGUAACAGGCCGCAAGGUGCUGACGAGUGGCGAACGGGUGAGUAAUGUAUCGGAACGUGCCCAGUCGUGGGGGAUAACGCAGCGAAAGCUGCGCUAAUACCGCAUACGAUCUAUGGAUGAAAGCGGGGGACCGUAAGGCCUCGCGCGAUUGGAGCGGCCGAUAUCAGAUUAGGUAGUUGGUGGGGUAAAGGCUCACCAAGCCAACGAUCUGUAGCUGGUCUGAGAGGACGACCAGCCACACUGGGACUGAGACACGGCCCAGACUCCUACGGGAGGCAGCAGUGGGGAAUUUUGGACAAUGGGCGCAAGCCUGAUCCAGCAAUGCCGCGUGCAGGAAGAAGGCCUUCGGGUUAGUAAACGUUGUCGUUUUAGUAACGGUAACGUAAACGGUCCUAGGUUAACUACCGUGGGUACUAAGUGUACGGUACGUAAGAAUAAGACACCGUACUAACUACGUAGUCCAGCAGCCGCGUAACG
rnacentral:rRNA from 1 species